UUUAAAACAUCGCCUCCUGCCAAAGAUCAAAGUAUAAGAGGUCCUGCCUGCCCAGUGACAUUGUUAAACGGCCGCGGUAUUCUGACCGUGCUAAGGUAGCGCAAUCACUUGUCUUUUAAAUGAAGACCUGUAUGAAUGGUGGAACGAGGGCUUAACUGUCUCCUUUUUUAGGUCAGUGAAAUUGAUUUGCUCGUGCAGAAGCGGGCAUAAACAUACAAGACGAGAAGACCCUUUGGAGCUUAAGAUAUAAGGUCAACUACGUUAAACCCCACAUUAACGGGACUUAAACAAAAUAUUAACUGACCCGUCUCUUCGGUUGGGGCGACCACGGGGGAAAAGAGAGCCCCCAUGUGGAAUGGGAUAUCCUAAAACCACGAGGUACACCUCUAAGUCACAGAACAUCUGACCAAAAGAUCCGGCUCUAGGGCCGAUCAACGAACCAAGUUACCCUAGGGAUAACAGCGCAAUCCUCUCCAAGAGUCCAUAUCGACAAGAGGGUUUACGACCUCGAUGUUGGAUCAGGACAUCCUAAUGGUGUAGCCGCUAUUAAGGGUUCGUUUGUUCAACGAUUAAAGUCCUACGUG
rnacentral:rRNA from 1 species